AAGAUACAUAACUAUAGUUUCUUAUUGACUUAUUGUUAUGUAACAUCAAAGUGGCUCGUGUUUAAUUCAUGCAAAGCAGUUGGGAUUGUGAUUAAUGCGCUUCAUGUCAAAUAAUAUUGAUGAGAUUUUAACAUGUAAUAGGCUAAUAGGCAUGGAUGCUAUAAUUCUUUUAGAGUACCAUAUUUUAGAUUGUUGUGA